rnacentral:tRNA from 1 species
GUCAGGAUGGCCGAGUGGUCUAAGGCGCCAGACUCAAGCACUUUCCUUCCCUUCUUCGGGGUUUCUGGUCUCCUGAUGGAGGCGUGGGUUCGAAUCCCACUUCUGACA